rnacentral:tRNA from 15 species
GCUUUAUGAAUACAACAGUAUUUUUGACUUCCAAUCAGACAGUCUUGGUGAAAAUUUAAGAUAAAGCA